CACGGGGGGAGCAAGCGUUGUUCGGAAUCACUGGGCGUAAAGGGCGUGUAGGCGGUUUGGUAAGUGAGAUGUGAAAUGCUUCGGCUCACCCGAAGACCUGCAUCUCAAACUGCCGGACUAGAGUAUGGGAGAGGACAAGGGAAUUCCUGGUGUAGCGGUGAAAUGCGUAGAUAUCAGGAGGAACACCGGUGGCGAAAGCGCUUGUCUGGCCCAAUACUGACGCUGAGGCGCGAAAGCUAGGGGAGCAAACGGG
rnacentral:rRNA from 1 species